GACGAACGCUGGCGGCGUGCUUAACACAUGCAAGUCGAACGGAAAGGCCCUGCUUUUGUGGGGUGCUCGAGUGGCGAACGGGUGAGUAACACGUGAGUAACCUGCCCUUGACUUUGGGAUAACUUCAGGAAACUGGGGCUAAUACCGGAUAGGAGCUCCUGCUGCAUGGUGGGGGUUGGAAAGUUUCGGCGGUUGGGGAUGGACUCGCGGCUUAUCAGCUUGUUGGUGGGGUAGUGGCUUACCAAGGCUUUGACGGGUAGCCGGCCUGAGAGGGUGACCGGCCACAUUGGGACUGAGAUACGGCACAGACUCCUACGGGAGGCAGCAGUGGGGAAGAUUGCACAAUGGGCGGAAGCCUGAUGCAGCAACGCCGCGUGCGGGAUGACGGCCUUCGGGUUGUAACCCGUUUUCGCCUGGGACGAAGCGUGAGUGACGGUAAUGGGUAAAGAAGCACCGGCUAACUACGUG
rnacentral:rRNA from 1 species